UACGUAGGGCCCAAGCGUUAAUCGGAAUCACUGGGCUUAAAGGGUGCGCAGGCGGAUCUGUAAGUGCCUUGUGAAAUCCCACAGCUCAACUGUGGAAUUGCUCGGCAGACUGCAGAUCUUGAGCCCGACAGAGGUCGUCGGAACGAUAGGUGGAGCGGUGAAAUGCGUAGAUAUCUAUCGGAACGCCAAAGGUGAAGACAGACGACUGGGUCGGCGCUGACGCUCAGGCACGAAAGCGUGGGGAGCGAACGGG
rnacentral:misc_RNA from 1 species